rnacentral:rRNA from 1 species
GAUGAACGCUGGCGGCGUGCCUAAUACAUGCAAGUCGAGCGAAUGGAUUGAGAGCUUGCUCUUAUGAAGUUAGCGGCGGACGGGUGAGUAACACGUGGGUAACCUGCCCAUAAGACUGGGAUAACUCCGGGAAACCGGGGCUAAUACCGGAUAACAUUUUGAACCGCAUGGUUCGAAAUUGAAAGGCGGCUUAGGCUGUCACUUAUGGAUGGACCCGCGUCGCAUUAGCUAGUUGGUGAGGGAACGGCACACCAAGGCAACGAUGCGUAGCCGGCCUGAGAGGGUGAUCGGCCACACUGGGACUGAGACACGGCCCAGACUCCUACGGGGGGCAGCAGUAGGGAAUCUUCCGCAAUGGACGAAAGUCUGACGGAGCAACGCCGCGUGAGUGAUGAAGGCUUUCGGGUCGUAAAACUCUGUUGUUAGGGAAGAACAAGUGCUAGUUGAAUAAGCUGGCACCUUGACGGUACCUAACCAGAAAGCCACGGCUAACUACGUGCCAGCCGCCGCAGUAA